rfam:Treponema pedis str. T A4, complete genome.
UUUAAACUUGUGAGUUUGCUUUGCAAACUCCUUAUUAUAUGCCGUUUCUCAUUACAUUGCGAAACGGCGGAAAUUCAUCAAUGCUCGAUUUUUGAUAAAAUCUGCGCUUGAUGAAUUUAUCA